GAUGAAGAACGCAGCGAAAUGCGAUACGUAAUGUGAAUUGCAGAAUUCAGUGAAUCAUCGAGUCUUUGAACGCACAUUGCGCCCCCUGGUAUUCCGGGGGGCAUGCCUGUCCGAGCGUCAUUGCUGCCCUCAAGCACGGCUUGUGUGUUGGGCCUCCGUCAUCCUCCCGGGGGACGGGCCCGAAAGGCAGCGGCGGCACCGCGUCCGGUCCUCGAGCGUAUGGGGCUUCGUCACCCGCUCUUGUAGGCCCGGCCGGCGCUUGCCGACACAUCAAUCUUUUUUCCAGGUUGACCUCGGAUCAGGUAGGGAUACCCGCUGAACUUAAGCAUAUCAAUAAGCGGAGGA
rnacentral:misc_RNA from 1 species